rnacentral:tRNA from 1 species
GUCCCUGUAGCUCAAAGGAUAGAGUAUUGGUUUCCGGAACCAAGGGUUGGAGGUUCGAGUCCUCCCAGGGACG